rnacentral:rRNA from 1 species
GAUGAACGCUGGCGGCGUGCCUAAUACAUGCAAGUCGAGCGAACAGACGAGGAGCUUGCUCCUCUGACGUUAGCGGCGGACGGGUGAGUAACACGUGGAUAACCUACCUAUAAGACUGGGAUAACUUCGGGAAACCGGAGCUAAUACCGGAUAAUAUAUUGAACCGCAUGGUUCAAUAGUGAAAGACGGUUUUGCUGUUACUUAUAGAUGGAUCCGCGCCGCAUUAGCUAGUUGGUAAGGUAACGGCUUACCAAGGCAACGAUGCGUAGCCGACCUGAGAGGGUGAUCGGCCACACUGGAACUGGGCCACGGUCCAGACUCCUACGGGAGGCCGCAGUAGGGAAUCUUCCGCAAUGGGCGAAAGCCUGACGGAGCAACGCCGCGUGAGUUAUGAAGGUCUUCGGAUCGUAAAACUCUGUUAUUAGGGAAGAACAAAUGUGUAAGUAACUAUGCACGUCUUGACGGUACCUAAUCAGAAAGCCACGGCUAACUACGUG